rnacentral:piRNA from 1 species
UGCAGUUGCAAAAGAGAAAGAGGGAU